UACUUCUCAACUAGAAAUGUUCAAAUGUUUCUAUCCAUGAAUGUGAUGUUUUGUAGGGAAUCUCUUAAGAAAGAAAUACACUGCAUGAAGCUGUUGGAGGAAGGAUCAAGCACAUUUGUUUUGACUGUUCUGACUGCUUGCACAAGAUUCCUGGUUACUCUGUAUGCACAGCUACUAUACAUGAUGAGGGAAAUGACUCCAGUCUCUAACAGAUAUUUGAAAUGCCCUGAGUAAUUCUGGCUAUCAUAUUGUAAAGGAAGAAAUGAUCAUGGAUUAGCCAAAUUCAGGAGCAUAUAGAAACUGAUAUAGAAACAACUAGAGAGAGACAGCACUUUGGGAGACCGAGGCAAGUGGAUCACCUGAGAUCAAGAGUGCGAGACCAGUCUGACCAAUAUGGCAAACCCACAUUUCUACUAAAAUUACAAAAAUUAGCUGAGCAUUGUGGUGCAUGGCUGUAAUUCCAGCUACUCAGGAGGCUGAGGUAGAAGAAUUACUUGAACCCAGCAGACGGAGAUUGCAGCAAGCUGAGAUCGCAUCACUGCACUCCAGCCUGAGUGAUACAAUAAGACUCUGCCUAAAAAUAAAAUGGAUUUUUAUAUAUUUUCUAGAAAAGGAAAAAAAGAAAAUGUCAUUGUCUUUCUUGCUAUGAAGAUUAAAUAUGUCUUCUCUUGGACUUGAUAUUACUCUGGAUUCCUAAAAAUAUGAAACUUAAUUUAGAAUUAGUUUAAGAUUUUACAAUUGUAGUAUAAUAUUUUUAAAGGUUUUGUAUGGCAAUUGAUAAGUUUGUGGUGAGCAAGGUGAUUGAAUGAGAGUUAGAACUCCACUCCACUCUUUGAUUGUACAUAAAAUCAGUUACAUCAGUUUAUAUGUAUAUUCUAUAUUUCUUGGAUUAUUUAUCUAUAACAAUCAAAAAUUUAGGAUAAUAUACAUUUGCUUCUAUCUAUAAUUUUUGCAACUACAAGGAAGGCUUUGCAAAUAAGGUAAGGCCAUAAAAUAAGUAUAAAAUUCUGAUCUAAUUAUCUGAAUCUUUCAUAUAUGCAAAUUUUUGUGUAACUGUUUUUAAUGAUUGUUUUAAUUAUAGAUUGUACUCUUAAUUGACUAUGUAGCUGGGAAUGAGGAUUAACAAGUGUGAAACUCCUACUCUAGCAUAUUAAGAAAAUUCUACUCUAGUAUAUAAAAAAUUAUUUGACUAGUAUGGCAUUAGAAAUACCUAAGAUCCUUAUAGGAAAUUAUUCAUUUGUGGAUGCUACUAAUAAUCACAUUUUACAUUUUUAUGAAAUAUUUUGAACAACUAUAUUUAGAGCUCAUAUUGGUUUAAAAAGUAAUACUGGCCAGGUUCUAUGGCCUUUGCCUGUAAUCCCAGAACUUUGAGAGGCUAAGGCUGGCUGGGUGCUUGAGCUCAGGAUUUUGUGAACCAGCUUGGGCAACAUGGCAAAACCUCAUUUCUAAAAAGAAUAAAAAUUUAGCCAGGUGUGGUGGUAUAUGCUUAUAGUUGCAGCUGCAUGGAAGGCUCAGAUGGGAGGAUUGUUUGAGCCCUGGAGGUUGAGGCUGCAGUGAAUCACAAUUGUGCCACAGCACUAAUAAAAUAAAAAAUAAUAGCAUAAAAACUGGCCUGAAAAAACAUCUUGCAUCAGAGAAACAGUAAGAAAACCUCAUAUACUUGAAGUCAGACUCCAUUUGUACAAGCAAAUGAAAUUAGGUGAAAUGAAAUCAAACAAAAUGGUGGCAUUUUCACUAAGUUAGUGAAAACUGAUUAAUAAUAUAUGUCAUUGUUCUUGAGUAAUGGUAAAACCAGGAAGUGUUGCAAUACUGGUUUCAAUGUGAUCUGAUAGAGUUCUUUUGAAAGACAAUUUUUUGAUGGUAAUCAAGAGAGAAAUUAUGUCUUCAUAUUCUUUGUCAAGCAGUGCAACUCCUGCAAUCUAACACAAGCAAUAAUUCAGUGAAUAAUUAAUUAUAGAGAAAUG